UGAACUCUGAUAUUUCAGUCUGGUUCAUAGUUUCACAUAUUCUGUUACAUUAAUAAGUUAAGUUUCUGGUUUUCUUGCAUCAGUGUCUCGUGUGUUUGGUUAAUGUGAAACCAGUCCAUGGGAGCCCAGGGGUGCUGACGGUAUAAUUUCUGAGCAUGUUGUGGCACUUCUACAUGUGCAGUCCUGACUGGAGGAUGUCCGCCUUCCUCACUGAUUUCUCCCAAGAGCAGGGUCCUAUCCCAUCCCUGGAUGUGACGCUGGGAGCUCUGUCUCCCAGCUCCUGAAGUUUCCACGCAGCUGCAUGUCCCCUCGCUGCAGCUCUGUCAGCACUUUUCCUGGGCUGACGUGUUGUCACGGGGAGCAGGACGGUCAGCGUCCCCGGCUCCUCCGAGCUCCGUCUCCUCAUCCCCAGUGCUGGGCUUCUCAUCCAUGUCUACUUAGAAGGGUUGCUGAGAACCACACGUGAUGGUUGUCAGGGGUGAUUUGUGGUUGUCCCUGUGUUUGACAUAUAGUCAGUAUUUGAUAGAAUCACAUGUUUUUUAUUAUAGUUCUGGCUUCUAAAUUGCAGUGGUUUUUAGUCUGCAUUUUUUUAUAACUUUUUUCUUAUUUUUAAAUAAGCACUUUUUUUGGGGGGGGAAUUACUGGGGAUUGAAGCCAGCACAUUGUGCAUGCUAAGCAGGUGCUCUACAACUGAGUAAUACCCACCCUCCUUGUCUGCACUUAAAAGUAAAUAUUGCAAUACACAAAAUAGCUCUUAAACACCAUCAUGGGACCUAUUUUCUGUAUAGACAAUUGAAUACAUAUGCUAUUUCAAUAAGAAUAAAUGUUGGGACUUA